UUUUUAACUUACCACAGUAAUAAAUGUUCACCACAGAAAAAUGUUACGAACAAAUAAGCAACCAUGCCGAAUAGUGGGGUUCAGAUUAUGCUCAUUCACAGCCAUAUUUACAUUUUUGCCAACGAAGGUUUUUGCAAGACAAUUUGUUUGAGUUUAUUUCAUGGUUAAAUGCUUUACGAUGGUUUAUUUAGUUUUUUGAAUCUGGAAGAAGUGUUUACAAAUUUCCCUUGGGACGAUGAACAACAGAUCGGCUGAUAUUUCAUUGCAAUAAAAGUACGAAAUAACUAAACAUGGUCUCGUUAAUAUUGCUGCUUAAUGGGCGCUGUUCCAAUUUUAUGAUUUAAGAGAAGAAAAGGCGAUACGGGAUGCUGUGAAGUACUCAACUGUAGUUAACAAAUUAGUUGGUCGUGAAUUCGAGACAAAAUUUUAAACUCAAUAAACUCGUGGAGGGUGCACGUCGCAUUGCUAGAAUCAGCAAAGGAGCUGGUGUAGAACGCUAGUCCCAAACUAAUGAGCUUUGUGCUUGAGGAUGGAAGCAACUUUUUGAAGAGCAAAUACUACUGUGAGCACAUUCGAAUGUUGCACAAGCUAUUGUCAAUUGCGCAAAGGAUCCCGAUUCUGCUGGUCAGGUUAAUCAAGCUGUUGGAUCAAAGCGUUACCAGUUGAGCGAAUUAAUUGACUGGUUUCAUCGUGUUAUGCGCAAAAUAUGCGCAUAUCGUGCUGCGCAAUAUUAUGAUGCCGAAUUGGAAGAGUGGGAGGAACCAGUUCCACCAAAAUCGACAGAAGAACUACGUAUGUUUGCAUAAAACUACUAUAAUGGCAACAACGCUAACAACAACCAAGCAAAUAUAAAACAACACUCAUCAAAUGAAAGUUGGUGGCGUUGGUGGCCAAGCAGCGAUUUAAAAAGAAAUAUUUGCAUCUACGCGAAUUACAAUUCGUCUUUACAUCUA